GCUCAAAUUUGAAAGCUGGCCCCCCCGGGGGUCCGCGUUGUAAUUUGUAGAGGAUGAUUCGGCGAGGGCUCCCGCCUAAGUCCCCUGGAACGGGGCGUCAUAGAGGGUGAGAAUCCCGUAUGCGGUGGGCUGCCUUAGCCAUGUGAAUCUCCUUCGACGAGUCGAGUUGUUUGGGAAUGCAGCUCUAAAUGGGAGGUAAAUUUCUUCUAAAGCUAAAUACCGGCCAGAGACCGAUAGCGCACAAGUAGAGUGAUCGAAAGAUGAAAAGCACUUUGGAAAGAGAGUUAAAAAGUACGUGAAAUUGUUGAAAGGGAAGCGCUUGCAGCCAGACUUGUCCGCAGUUGCUCAGCCGGUCUCCUGACCGGCGCACUCUUCUGCGGCCAGGCCAGCAUCAGUUCGGGCGGUCGGAUAAAGGCCCCGGGAACGUAGCUCCUCUCGGGGAGUGUUAUAGCCCGGGGUGGAAUGCGGCCAGCCUGGACUGAGGAUCUCGCUUCGGCUAGGAUGCUGGCGUAAUGGCUGUAAGCGGCCCGUCUUGAAACACGGACCAAGGAGUCUAACAUCUAUGCGAGUGUUUGGGUGUCAAACCCAUGCGCGUAAUGAAAGUGAACGGAGGUGGGAACCCUCGCGGGUGCACCAUCGACCGAUCCUGAUGUCUUCGGAUGGAUUUGAGUAAGAGCAUAGCUGUUGGGACCCGAAAGAUGGUGAACUAUGCCUGAAUAGGGUGAAGCCAGAGGAAACUCUGGUGGAGGCUCGCAGCGGUUCUGACGUGCAAAUCGAUCGUCAAAUUUGGGUAUAGGGGCGAAAGACUAAUCGAACCAUCGACUACUAGGUGGUUAAGAGGUGGCUGAAAGUGCCCACCUAGUCCCCCCGUCCUCGGACGGGGGGGCGACAUCGCCAAAUUGCGGGGACUCCCUUAGAGCCUCUACUACCGCGGCCGGCCGAAAGGCGCGGUGCAGCACCGGGUUAAUUGCCUAGGGUACGGUAAAAAGGUAGAGGAUUGGGAAAUCCGCAGCCAAGCGCCUAAGUCCCGCGGGAUACGGCGAAGGUUCAGAGACUAGAUGGCGGUGGG
rnacentral:sRNA from 1 species